rnacentral:rRNA from 1 species
CUUGGUGGCUAUAGCGUCUGUGACCCACCCGAUCCCAUCUCGAACUCGGUCGUUAAGCCCCCUUGCGCCAAUGGUACUACGUCUUAAGGCGUGGGAGAGUAGGUCGCUGCCGGGU